GCCUCCCAAAUACAUUCAAUACCUCUUGAAAAGAACUAACCUUGAAUUUUCAUGUACAAAAUUAUCAAAUCAAUUAUAUCCAUAAUUGGUUAGAUAGCUCCUAUUGUAAUUCACACAUUCCAUCUUUCAAUUUAAUGAUUCCAAAAUUGGAGUUGAAGAAUACCCAGAUUUCAAGCAUAUUGAGAUUUGGGCAUCAAAAUAUUUAUUUCCUUCUUGUAUUUUUGUAUCAAAACAGAGAAAAAAUAUUUGCCAGUUAAAUCUACCGAUCUCAUCUAUGUAAAAUGGAUUCCAAGCCCACGAAUUUGGUUCCAAUUUGUUAUUAAAAACUAGUCAGAUUGAGUCUCAUAUACCAAGAUCAUUAUCAAACAAACUUAAGUGUGCAUUUACUUAGAACUAGUUCGACACAUCUAGAGAUAGCAUGUGGUCAAAGACAGAUAAUAAAUGUGUGGGAAGGAACCUAAGUACAACUAAAUGAGGAAAAUGCUAACAAGACAACGUUACUAUAACAUCAUUGAUCACUUUGCAUGGUCGAGUGUCGAGAUGUAUUUUGUAACUUUUACCUAUUUUCAAAAGCUAGGUGGUGAAUUUGUUCAUUGAGUAGGUCAAAUGGCUUUAUAGUUUUGCCCAU
rnacentral:lncRNA from 1 species